CGCACCUUGCGCCUCUUGGUAUUCCGAGAGGCAUGCCUGUUUGAGUGUCAUUAAAUUCUCAACCUCAAAAACUUUUGUUGAUGAGGCUUGGAUAUGGAGGCUUUGCCGGCUCGUCCAGAGUCAGCUCCUCUGAAAUGCAUUAGUGGAAACUGUUUGUAAUCCGCAUUGGUGUGAUAAUUAUCAGCGCUAUUGUGGCUACAAGCUUGUGUAGUGUUCGUUUGGAAAGUGCAUGAAAGUGCUCUCUCUGCUUCAUUGACCUACUCAAGUAUAGUAUUCGCUUCAAACCGUCCUAAGUUACUGGACAAUACUUGACUAUUUUGACCUCAAAUCAGGUAGGAUUACCCGCUGAACUUAA
rnacentral:misc_RNA from 1 species